rnacentral:rRNA from 1 species
GAUCGUCCACAUUGGGACUGAGACACGGCCCAAACUCCUACGGGAGGCAGCAGUGGGGAAUAUUGCACAAUGGGGGAAACCCUGAUGCAGCAACGCCGCGUGAAGGAAGACGGUUUUCGGAUUGUAAACUUCUAUCAGCAGGGAAGAAAAUGACAGUACCUGACUAAGAAGCCCCGGCUAACUACGUGCCAGCAGCCGCGGUAAUACGUAGGGGGCAAGCGUUAUCCGGAAUUACUGGGUGUAAAGGGUGUGUAGGCGGCAAUGCAAGUCAGAUGUGAAAGCCAGGGGCUCAACCCCUGGACUGCAUUUGAAACUGUGUAGCUAGAGUGCAGGAGAGGUAAGUGGAAUUCCUAGUGUAGCGGUGAAAUGCGUAGAUAUUAGGAAGAACACCAGUGGCGAAGGCGGCUUACUGGACUGUAACUGACGCUGAGGCACGAAAGCGUGGGGAGCGAACAGGAUUAGAUACCCUGGUAGUCCACGCUGUAAACGAUGAGUGCUAGGUGUCGGGGGUCGACAGACCUUCGGUGCCGCAGCUAACGCAUUAAGCACUCCACCUGGGGAGUACGAUCGCAAGAUUGAAACUCAAAGGAAUUGACGGGGGCCCGCACAAGCGGUGGAGCAUGUGGUUUAAUUCGAAGCAACGCGAAGAACCUUACCAAAUCUUGACAUCCCAUUGACCGUUUCAUAAUAGAAGCUUUCCCUUCGGGGACAAUGGAGACAGGUGGUGCAUGGUUGUCGUCAGCUCGUGUCGUGAGAUGUUGGGUUAAGUCCCGCAACGAGCGCAACCCUUAUCUCUAGUAGCCAGCACUUCGGGUGGGGACUCUAGAGAGACUGCCGGGGAUAACUCGGAGGAAGGUGGGGAUGACGUCAAAUCAUCAUGCCCCUUAUGAUUUGGGCUACACACGUGCUACAAUGGUGGUGACAAAGGGAAGCAAGAGGGUGACCUUAAGCAAACCUCAAAAAAGCCACCUCAGUUCGGAUUGUAGUCUGCAACUCGACUACAUGAAGCUGGAAUCGCUAGUAAUCGCGAAUCAGAAUGUCGCGGUGAAUACGUUCCCGGGCCUUGUACACACCGCCCGUCACACCAUGGGAGUCGGAAGCGCCCGAAGCCGGUGAUCCAACGUAAGAGGAAGCCGUCGAAGGUGAAGUCGAUAACUAGGGUGAAGUCGUAACAAGGUAGCCGUAUCGGAAGGUGCGGCUG